rnacentral:rRNA from 1 species
AGCAGCCGCGGUAAUUCCAGCUCCAAUAGCGUAUAUUAAAGUUGUUGCAGUUAAAAAGCUCGUAGUUGAAUUUCGAGAUCAAUUUGUUGGUCGUGCCUCGGUACGUACUGGCAAUUUUGAUUUCUCCCUUCUGAAGAACCAUGAUGUCAUUAAUUUGGUGUCAUGGGGAAUCAGGACCGUUACUUUGAAAAAAUUAGAGUGUUUAAAGCAGGCUCGCGCUUGAAUACAUUAGCAUGGAAUAAUGAAAUAGGACGUUUGAUUCUAUUUUGUUGGUUUCUAGGAUCGACGUAAUGAUUAAUAGGGAUAGUUGGGGGCAUUAGUAUUCAAUUGUCAGAGGUGAAAUUCUUGGAUUUAUUGAAGACUAACUACUGCGAAAGCAUUUGCCAAGGAUGUUUUCAUUAAUCAAGAACGAAAGUUAGGGGAUCGAAGGCGAUCAGAUACCGUCGUAGUCUUAACCAUAAACUAUGCCGACUAGGGAUCGGAUGAUGUUAAUUUUUUAAUGACUCA